rnacentral:rRNA from 1 species
UACGUAGGUGACAAGCGUUGUCCGGAAUUAUUGGGCGUAAAGGGAGCGCAGGCGGUUGGAAUAGUCUGAUGUGAAAGCCCACGGCUUAACCGUGGAUGGUCAUUGGAAACUGUCCAACUUGAAUGCAGAAGAGGUAAGUGGAAUUCCAUGUGUAGCGGUGAAAUGCGUAGAUAUAUGGAGGAACACCAGUGGCGAAGGCGGCUUUCUGGUCUAACCCUGACGCUGAGGAGCGAAAGCUAGGGGAGCAAACGGGAUUAGAUACCCCGGUAGU